CAGAUAGAAAGAGUGCUAGGCACUGGCCAGCUGUAGAGUCCUGCAGGCCCAACAAAACAGGGACACAAAGAAGACACCUUCACAAGCUCUUGAUGCGCUUUCUUAACGGAAACCUAUCUUGUAUGCAGUACAUCAAAUGGGCUUGGCAUACAGAGGGAUUUUGAUCCACAAUCAAAGCAAAACUCAAAGUGGUAUGCAUAUUUCAUUUUCAAAGUUAAGACACUGCCUUUUGAUCAGAUAACUCCCAAAACAGACUACAACAUGUUUAAACAAGGCAACAGAUCUGUGCAGCAGUUCUUCUUCCUCUGGCCAGUGUUUUCAGAGGCCCAACAAAUGUCAGCCAGUAUAAUAAUCCAUUAAUCUCAUUGCCACAAGAGAUGCAAAAAUGGCUUGGAUCUAUAUAGCUACCUACCUACCGAUUUGGGAGUGUGAUGUGCAUUUAAGCCAACUUCAUAUAUGAGAUGCCCAAUUGUGACUAAGACUGCAGUCCAACACUUGUCUACUCAGAAAGAACAUUUGGACAGACUAUUAGAACAACCAUCCAUUUUUUCCCACAACCAUGACGAUCUACAUUCUACGUGGGAGGAAUUUAAGCAAGAACAUAAAAAUAUGAUUAGGAGUAAAUUGCAUGCGUCCACUCUCCUAGAGUACUGUAGGGUACAACGGAUACCCAGAGGAUUAAGAAUAUUAAAGGCACCAGGCAUGUUUUUGGACAAUCAAGAGUUCAUGAGUAAAUGGUGUGCCAUUCUCAACAAAUGCUCUCAGGAUCUAAUGAUACUGCUGGUGGACACUUCUACAGAACUAAAUGCACGAUUAAAACAAUCACUCAAUUUACAAAGAGAUAAGUACAAAAAGGACAACAUUGGUGACAUGGAUGGCAAAUUGGCCUCUUUAGAUCUGGAACUUAAGGAGUAUUACAACAACCUUAAGGCCUUUAAAUACAAGAAGUUCACCAGAGAUGAGGGUGACUAUAAAGCGAACAAAGUGUAUCCUUGGCUGUACAAAAAGACCAAAAAGGUCACCUUCUCCGUACAUGAAACAUCCCUGGGUUCACAUACAGAUUGGGAGUCCACUACCGCUGAUAGCAGUGAAACAGAUGCUUCUACGUUUGAAACUUCCACUUUUUUAGCAGAUCGAGGGAAACAAAAAAGGACCAACGAUCACAGAGGGAACCUAAGAAGACGCAGGGACAACAUGUCAUCACCCCCCUACAGGUUCAGAAAGAAACGUUGAUCGUCAACCUUUCAAAAAGAUCAUUCACGGCAACUGAGACACGGUUACUAAAUAAAGGUCUUACGUUUGUCCCAACCCCUCGUCAUGAUCUGGUACAGUCUCGAUUAGAUCUAUUCCGAUUUUUUAGAAAUAUUAGACUUCGCCAAUAUUUUGGGAAUACCACCUCCCACUACACAGAUUCGAAAAGCAUGUUCAGACCUCCAUCAAAAUUUAUGCCACCAGGACCCUUAGAUCCAUUUAUAUACACUUUUGAAAAACUUGUUACUCAAGAUCUUGAAAAACUUGAAUCCUCUUCCCACCACCACUGGAAUAACCUUAGUAUAGAGGAACAACGGGCUUUGAAAGCAAUAUCGGAAGACACCUCCAUCAUCAUUAAACCAGCAGACAAGGGCGGGGCAGUUGUUGUACAGGACGUAGAUAUGUACAAAAAAGAGAUACAACAUCAGCUGUCUGACACUACUGCCUAUAAGCCCCUGAUGAAAGCCCUUGAUGGGCUGAAACGCGUUGGGCAUUUUAUACUAUAAGCUAUUUCUUCAAAGAAUUUAUACAAUAAAUACAUUGAAACUCCCUCCUUAGGCAUCCAGGGUUUACCCCCUUUUUUUCUGCACGCCAUUGAAUGCCUUCCACCUUCCUUUCUAUUUACUCAGAAAUAAACUCAACUGAGUUCAAUGGGACUUACUCCCAGGUAAGUGUGUAUUAGAUUGCAGCCUAAGUUCCAUAGCACUGCCUGUGUUUUGGAAUGGAAGACAGGAUGCACAAUUGUGGUGACAUAAUCUACUCUUUACAUGCAUUUCUGAUCACAAAUGCCCCCAUACGUGGAUGUUAACACACAAUGCCAAUAGAUGCAAGCUUUUCAAGAUGUUGGGCCUAGAGAAGUAAGAGUGAGGAGUGUCUACCCCCUAUUGACUUUCAGGAGGAAUUUGAAAACAUUCCAGUUUACCCAGGCAUUUGAUGGCUGAAAGGGACUAUUUCUGGCAACCUGAAGAUCACUGAUGAAAGAAUAAUUUAACUGUGUUUUAGAAUAUAUAUAUAUAUAUAUAUUAAUUGUGAUUGUGCUUUGGAAUGUUUUAAAUUGUUUUUACCAUGCUUUUCUUUUUCUUGUUAAAUUGUUUUGUUUAUGUUUGCUGCCCUGGGCUCCUUUGGCAAGAAAGGCAAGAUAUAAAUUCAAAAACAACAACAACAUGCCAUGGGAACACUGGAGAAAUAAGGGAUAUAUCAACUCCAGCCUGUGGUGAAAAGCAGAAGUCUGUUUUUAUUAUAAAAAAGGGGGAGAGAAAGCAGUGCUGAUAAAUAUGCACAGUAAAUUCAAAUGUGUGUGUGAAAAUCACACCAACCAACUAUGCCCUGGACUGACAGUUAAUUG